UACGUAGGACGCAAGCGUUGUCCGGAAUUAUUGGGCGUAAAGAGCUCGUAGGCGGUCUGUUACGUCUGCUGUGAAAACCCAGGGCUUAACCCUGGGCUUGCAGUGGAUACGGGCAGACUAGAGGCAGGUAGGGGAGAAUGGAAUUCCCGGUGUAGCGGUGAAAUGCGCAGAUAUCGGGAGGAACACCGGUGGCGAAGGCGGUUCUCUGGGCCUUACCUGACGCUGAGGAGCGAAAGCGUGGGGAGCGAACAGG
rnacentral:rRNA from 1 species